UAUGUUUCUUUCCAAUCAUAAACGUUGUGAUUCCACAGACCUACAGAGCAAAGUUGAAUCCUCACAACUAACCGUAAAGGACCAGACUUUUGAUUCCUUCAAUAAGAGAUAAGAUUGCUAUUGUCCCAACAUUCAGGAACAACAGUUGUUGCUAUGAGCCACCAUAAUGCGAGUUACCACACUAUUGUAUUUCCAUUUUAUAAUGGUCAUUGUGACGGUUUCACAGCUUGCAGUUUCAUGAAGAGUUACUGUCUACGAUAACAUUAAAUCAAAAGAUUUGAAAGGUGUUACGGAGUUCUAUUUUUUCAGUUUCAUGACCUUUCUUUUCUUCGGUUUGUUGUAUACAAUUGGUUUUUUUU